rnacentral:rRNA from 1 species
AUUGAACGCUGGCGGCAUGCCUUACACAUGCAAGUCGAACGGCAGCACGGGUGCUUGCACCUGGUGGCGAGUGGCGAACGGGUGAGUAAUACAUCGGAACAUGUCCUGUAGUGGGGGAUAGCCCGGCGAAAGCCGGAUUAAUACCGCAUACGAUCCACGGAUGAAAGCGGGGGACCUUCGUGCCUCGCGCUAUAGGGUUGGCCGAUGGCUGAUUAGCUAGUUGGUGGGGUAAAGGCCUACCAAGGCGACGAUCAGUAGCUGGUCUGAGAGGACGACCAGCCACACUGGGACUGAGACACGGCCCAGACUCCUACGGGAGGCAGCAGUGGGGAAUUUUGGACAAUGGGCGAAAGCCUGAUCCAGCAAUGCCGCGUGUGUGAAGAAGGCCUUCGGGUUGUAAAGCACUUUUGUCCGGAAAGAAAUCCUUGGCUCUAAUACAGUCGGGGGAUGACGGUACCGGAAGAAUAAGCACCGGCUAACUACGUG